rnacentral:rRNA from 1 species
GGGAUGCUGACGAGCGGCGGACGGGUGAGUAAUGCAUAGGAAUCUGCCCGGUAGUGGGGGAUAACCUGGGGAAACCCAGGCUAAUACCGCAUACGUCCUACGGGAGAAAGGGGGCUUCGGCUCCCGCUAUUGGAUGAGCCUAUGUCGGAUUAGCUGGUUGGUGAGGUAAUGGCUCACCAAGGCAACGAUCCGUAGCUGGUCUGAGAGGAUGAUCAGCCACAUCGGGACUGAGACACGGCCCGAACUCCUACGGGAGGCAGCAGUGGGGAAUAUUGGACAAUGGGGGCAACCCUGAUCCAGCCAUGCCGCGUGUGUGAAGAAGGCCCUCGGGUUGUAAAGCACUUUCAGCGAGGAAGAACGCCUGGCGGUUAAUACCCGCCAGGAAAGACAUCACUCGCAGAAGAAGCACCGGCUAACUCCGUGCCAGCAGCCGCGGUAAUACGGAGGGUGCAAGCGUUAAUCGGAAUUACUGGGCGUAAAGCGCGCGUAGGUGGCUUGAUAAGCCGGUUGUGAAAGCCCCGGGCUCAACCUGGGAACGGCAUCCGGAACUGUCAGGCUAGAGUGCAGGAGAGGAAGGUAGAAUUCCCGGUGUAGCGGUGAAAUGCGUAGAGAUCGGGAGGAAUACCAGUGGCGAAGGCGGCCUUCUGGACUGACACUGACACUGAGGUGCGAAAGCGUGGGUAGCAAACAGGAUUAGAUACCCUGGUAGUCCACGCCGUAAACGAUGUCGACCAGCCGUUGGGUGCCUAGCGCACUUUGUGGCGAAGUUAACGCGAUAAGUCGACCGCCUGGGGAGUACGGCCGCAAGGUUAAAACUCAAAUGAAUUGACGGGGGCCCGCACAAGCGGUGGAGCAUGUGGUUUAAUUCGAUGCAACGCGAAGAACCUUACCUACCCUUGACAUCCUGCGAACCCGGAAGAGAUUCCGGGGUGCCUUCGGGAACGCAGAGACAGGUGCUGCAUGGCUGUCGUCAGCUCGUGUUGUGAAAUGUUGGGUUAAG